CUACUUAGAGCAAAAAAAAAAAAAAAAAAAAAGGAAAAAUAGAAAGUUCAGUGCCACACCCUUGUCAGGCUGUGGAAAGCCAAGUGUAUACAGCUAGCGCUAGGAGUAUAAUUAGUUAGCUUUCCAUCAAGAUGAAUUACUCGUGCAAGCACUGUAAUUUCACCACAGCUUCAAUUACUGCAUUUGUUCGUCAUUUGAGCAUACACAGAAAUCUAGCUAACUUUAGAUUUCCAUGUGGCGUAGCAAAAUGCUUUGCCACUUUUGUGACUCGUGGUGCCGUUCAGAGCCACAUGUACCGUUUUCACAAGAAGACCGCUAAACCAGUACUUAAAAGGAACAUUGAUGGAGUUGAUUUGGCUUGCUCUGUUGAAGGUUGUAACUAUGUGUCAGCAAAUUUUCCAAGCUUACAUGAACAUCUUCAGUGGCAUAUUAAAUAUGGCACAGAAGUGUCAUGCCCUUAUAUUAAUUGUUUAAAACAUUUCCGUGUCCGUUCAACCUUUGCCUCGCACUUGAAUCGGAAACACAAGAGUAUAUCUACUUCUCCACGUAUUAGCCAAAGUUCUACCAGUGCUGCUAGUACUAACAUCACCUGUGCCUCCAUGUCAUCAGACAGUGAACUAGAUCACACUUUUGAGACCACUUUUGACGAUGAUAAUGACAACACAGAAGAUGAAGUGGACACAGAUGAUUUUAUGAACAAUCUGGCCAUGUUUUAUCUCCGAAUGCAGGCUAAAAUGCUGUUACCAGCCAGUACAAUUCAGACCUUAAUAGAGGAAAUACAAGAGGUACACAACACUGGUUUGACUCAUCUAUUGUCUAGGAUGCAUGAAGAGUUAACAAAUCUGAAUGUCCCUGAAAGUGAUAUUAAGAGGCUCCUUGAUAAUCUCUCAAAAGAUAACCUUCUGAAAAUGUGCAACGAAGGAGUGUUUAGAACAGAUCAAACCCGUAAAACCUUCUUUAAGAGCAGAUUUAGCUAUGUUGAGCCAGUCAAGACUUAUUUGGGCAUUGAUGCUAAAGGCAAAGAGAGGUUCUACCAGUACGUGCCCAUCAAGGAUACAGUAAAAUCACUCCUCUCUCAGAACUCUGUUAAAGAACAGUAUGCCCAAGCUAAAGCUGACACAGAAACAAAUCCUGAUGUUCUGGAAGAUGUGAGAGAUGGUAGAAACUUUAAAGAGAAUAUACUUUUACGAGAUUCACCAUCUUCAUUGUCUCUCAUCUUGUAUCAGGAUUCUUUCGAAGUUGCGAACCCACUGGGCUCAGGCAGAAAAAAACACAAAAUACUGGCCAUGUACAUGACACUUGCAGAGAUUGCACCACACAACAGGUCUUCCAUUGAUCCAAUGCAACUUGUUAUGUUGUGCAGAGAGGAGGAUUUCCAAUUUUUUGGACAAGAAAAAGUGUUCUCCACUUUAGUCAGUGAAUUAAAAGAAAUGGAGGAAAAUGGAAUUGAAUAUGGUGCUGAGGAGAAAAUAAAAGGCUCUGUGAUUGCCAUUACUGGAGAUAAUCUGGGGUCACACAGUAUUGGCGGGUUUACUGAAAACUUCAGUAAAAGCACACAUUUUUGCCGGUACUGUGUCAUCGACAGAGUGUCUUUUCAAACAGAUCCCUGCAAAUCUGGUCCUAAAAGAACCAUAGAGAGUUACAAAAAUAGUGUGGCAGACCUGGCAGACCAGGAGAUGAACAGUGGAGUAAAAUUUGACUCAAUUUUCAAUCAGUUGAAAUAUUUUCAUGUUUGCCAGCCAGGGCUCCCUCCGUGCCUGGGUCAUGACCUGUUUGAAGGGGUUGUUUCAUUUGAUCUUGCUAUGUACAUUAAGCACUUAGUGACAGUGGGCAAACACUUUACCUAUGGUCAACUGAAUCGGACUAUAUCACAGUUCACAUACCUAGGCAGUGAUGCAAAUAACAAGCCAUGUGAGGUUAAAACUAAUGCGGAGAAGCUGGGAGGACAUGCUGCUCAAAACUGGUGCCUCUUACGUCUCUUUCCUAUUCUGGUUGGAGACCGAAUCAAAAAUCCACUUGAUGAUGAGGUGUGGCAGUUGUGCUUAAAGCUCAGAGAAAUUGUGGAUUUGAUAUGUGCACCCAAGAUCCAUACCAACCAAGUAGCAUACCUUAAGAUUCUCAUUGAGGAAUACAUCCAGCUAAGAACUGCCACAUUCCCAGAAAAGACACUUAAACCCAAACACCACUAUCUUGUCCAUUACCCAGAACUCAUUCUUCAGUUUGGUCCCCUCAUUAGGUUGUGGACAUUGCGCUUUGAAAGCAAGCACUCAUAUUUUAAGCAGUGUGCAAGGAAACUGCAUAACUUUAAAAACCUCUGCAGUACCUUAGCAGAAAGACACCACUUGCUACAAGCAUAUUUACAUGCUGGUAACUUAUUUCCUCCAACUCUGCAAAUGGGCCAACCAAGUAAAUACGAUGACCAACUGUACCAGAUUGGCAUUCAGAGAGCUAUCAGUCUCAAGGGUCUCCGCCCAGAAGACACUACUGAAACACCCUCUGUCACUUUCAAAGGCACUCUGUACAAAAGAGGCAUGACUGUUGUAGUGGACCAAAAUGACACAGGGUAUCUACUUGGGAAAAUACUGUUGAUACUGGUAAACGAGGCAAACGUACAUUUUGUUGUCCAGCAGUAUCAGUCUGUGCCUGUUGUGGAUCUUGGUGUUUAUUGCUUACAAAGCAACUCAGAAGCACAAUAUCAGUGUUUGACUGUAGAGAAUCUUGCAGAUUAUUACCCUCUUUCUGUAUAUAAUCAAUUUGGUCUUAAUCUUGUUGCUCUGCAUCAUUCUGUGUUUCAGAAGAAUGAGUAAUGGACUCCAUUGAGAAGGCAAUACAGGCCGUGCUACCACAGCUAGAUGAAGCAAAGCUUGAAACUUUAGUCAAUGAGUUGGUGAAAGUAGGUGUUGAAGGACCAGAUGAUCUGCAGUUUAUUCAAGAAGAUGACAUCAAACAUCUGCUCACACCCAUUCAGUGCAGAAAAAUUAUUCAUUCCUUGAAAGUGUGUAAUGCAGGUCCUUCAAAUCCCCAGCUGAGCCCUUCAUCGUCUGAGCCACUGUCAGUUGCCUAUUCCAGCACAUGCCCCAUAUCAUCUAUAAGUCCCAUCUCUGCAUGGGUGAACAAUUUUGAGGUGCCAUGGAACAAAGUGAGGCUGACUCUUAGAAGAGCAGUAGAUGCUGGUGAGAGGCCAGCUCCGGAUUAACCGCAGACACUUGAUAAAAGUCACUGUUGAUGCGAUGAGAGAGCGUUCCUUGAACCCUACUCGCAGAGAGUGUGUGGUAGUGGCUAAAGCUAUAACUCAAAAAUAUCCAAAUAGCUUUUUAGACAAAAAUGAAGAGGGGGAGCUAAUUGGAUGUGGGUAUUUCAGCGUUAUAAAUCAGCUCAAAACCAGAGUAGAAUAUUUGAAUCGAGGCAACUCUCUUUCCCGUCUGAGGAAGCACAAACGCACCCAGAGAGAUGAUGAGGAUGGUGAUGAUGACCAGCCAGCAGUAGCUACAUGUGCAAGAAUCGACAGUUAUGGGUGUGUUCGUUGGCAGCCAGCGGACUAUCCAGAUGGGGAAACAUCAGCAUCAUUAGAGGAAAAGAAGCUUGAGAUGAUUGAUAUAUUCAGCCGAGAGGGACUAAAGGGCGCUGAGAGAGGAAGGGUAGAAGACCUAAUGGCAAUCACUUAUGCCAAACAGCGGGAAUACAUCAACGCAAAGCCUUCCCCAAGCAUUCUGGAUGUGGGUAAAGAGUGGCCAUUUCUCUUUUCACAGAAGUUUUUAUUGUCACACUUCACCACUCUCACCAAUGUUGAACUAUACACAAGACUGAAUGAAGAUAUGGACAAAAAGGGUAAAAGACUCCUGGAUUUCUUCAGUAGUCAGAUUACAAAGUGGAGGAAAGAAGUAAGAGCUGUUCUGAAGGAAGCCAUAAAGAAGGACCGAGAAGGAUCUGAUGGCCUAGCAGCGAUGCUUGUGAUGUUGGCACACUUCAAAGAGCAAGAGGAGUCACUUUUUCUCAUUGCUGAUGAGACUACCACUCCCGCAGACGCAGAGGCCCAGCUGUCUCUCCCAGUCACUCCAAGGAUCAUCAUGCUUGGAGAGACAAUCCUGACUGCAAAAAAAUGGAUGCUGUCGAUCGAGGGGAGGGUCGUAAUCCCACCUGGUGCUCACAUGGCAGACUUCACCACUGCCUUGGCCGCUCUCUUCGCCUGUUACUAUGUAUUCAAUCUAGAGUAUCAGGUGGAAGCCAGCACAACACUGGAGUUUGUUCAGAGGUUUUUAGUCAGGAUUAAUCCUGACUCCAACAAGUGCACUGCCAAGGAGCAGAUGAGCAAGACGACUGGGAGAGUGGUGAAGCGGAAGACUUCAUACAUGAACCCCCAUGUAAUCUCCUUCAUCAGGGACUUCACAGAGUUCUAUUUGCUAACUGACUAGAUAC